rnacentral:lncRNA from 1 species
UUAAUUUAUUAUUAAAAUUCCUAUAUAUUUUUCAAUACUAGGAGUAUUUAUUUUUACUCCUAUGCUUCCUUCCUUCCUUCCUUCCUUCCUUCCUUCCUUCCUUCCUUCCUUCCUUCCUUCCUUCCUUCCUUCCUUCCUUCCUUCCUUCCUUCCUUCCUUCCUUCCUUCCUUCCUUCCUUCCUUUUGCCCUUUCUUCCCUUCUCC